UUGACGGAGAGUUUGAUCCUGGCUCAGGACGAACGCUGGCGGCGUGCUUAAUACAUGCAAGUCGAACGCUCUCGACCUUCGGGUCACAUGAGAGAGUGGCGAACGGGUGCGUAACACGUGAGAAACCUGCCCCAAAGACGGGAAUAGCCCGAGGAAACUCGGAUUAAUACCCGAUAUCUCCACAAUGCCGCAUGGCAAUGUGAAGAAAGUUCAGGCGCUUUGGGAGGGUCUCGCGGCCUAUCAGCUUGUUGGUGAGGUAA
rnacentral:rRNA from 1 species